CCUGCCACUUUCUCUAAUCCCAUUACCCCAAUACCCCCACUCUUCCUCGCCACAUACACAUUACACACACGUACAUACAUACACACUAGUCACUACACACACGUAAAUACAGACAACACAUAAAAUAUUAAUGGCCAAAUACAUAAACAAAUCCCUAAAUUUGUUGGAUUUUUCCCCUCAGGUACCUCAACUACGCCAUUUUCCUAUUGAAUCAUUAAACCACCCAUAAUUUGUUCCUUUUAAACACCGUUGGCUAAUGUGGAACCAAACGUGAUCUCACGUCGUUUGAGCGCGUGAAGACGCUUUAAAGUCGCUGAUGUGGAUCCUGCACCACCCACCAACGAUCUUCUUCCCCCUUUUAACCCUAAUUUCUCCCCUUCUUCUCUUAUUUCUCCUCUUUUGUUUCUCUUCAUCAUUAUUUCUCCUCUUUAGCUCAUUAGUCUUCUUCAUUGAUUUCUUCUUAAUCAUCAAGUUCCAAUGUCGAAGUUAUCUUCUUCAUUGAUUUCUUCUUCUUCAACUGCAAAUGUGCUAUCGGGUUCACUCUCCUAAAACGCAUGAAAACAAUUAGAAAUAAUAUUUUUUUCUUUUUCUUUCCAACUUAUAUAGCUAAAUUAAUAAAUAAUAAUAAUUAAUAUAAAAAAAUAAAAAUAAAAAGGGAGGAACAUCUUUCUCAUCUUCCUCUGCAACUAUUCCAUUUCUCUUUACACACCCCACCCCCUCCACCUCUCCCUCGACCUCUUUAAUUUGUCUACUGCUUUUUCGUUCUAUUUAUUUUAUUUUAUGUAGAUCAGAUUAAAGUCUCAAAUAUUUUGUUGAAGCUCUAUUAUUUCAGAUGAAAAUAAUAUUCCGGCGAAUUGGGGGGAAAUGAGGGGCUUUCGUUUUAAUUAGGUUUGAGGAUUGAAUAUAUGGCGCUGAUGUGUAAUUGGGUUGAAGUAUGAUUGGUUGGAAUUUCCACGUGGGGAAGGUUGAUCUCACGCGCACAAUCACCAAAAAAUAUUUGUUGAAGUUUGGUUCCACAUCAGCCAAUGGUGUUUAAAAGGAACAAAUUAUGGGUGGUUCAAUGAUUCAAUAGGAAAAUAGCAUAGUUGAGAUACCUGAGGGGAAAAUUCCAACAAGUUUAGGGAUCUGUUUAUGUAUUUGACCAAUAUUAAUAUAUAAAGGAACAUAAUACACACCUGAAAAAGACAUCACUACAUACGGGAAAAGCAGCAUACACAAGAAAAAAAAAACCAAUCAGCAGAGACGAAAAAAAGGAAAGAAAAUAGUCAAAAAACUCAACACACGCAACGUAGAAAACCAAAAAGAAGAAAGAAGACCAAAACAUUUUAUUUUAUUUUUUUGUCUCCAAGCACACAGACGCACACCAUAAAAAAAAAAGCAAUACACUCAUUAAACUCACCAAAAACAAACGCACAACAAAGGACAAAAGUGGAGUUUGAGGUUGAGUUACGUGAUUUCCAGUUCGUGGUUUCUAAUUGUGAUUUUUUUUUUGUAAAUUAAUCUUCACAAGACUUUGAUUGCAAUAUAUUGAAAUUGUCAAAUUUUAUAUGUGUUUAAC
rnacentral:lncRNA from 1 species